rnacentral:rRNA from 1 species
GAUGAACGCUGGCGGCGUGCCUAAUACAUGCAAGUCGAGCGAACAGACGAGGAGCUUGCUCCUCUGACGUUAGCGGCGGACGGGUGAGUAACACGUGGAUAACCUACCUAUAAGACUGGGAUAACUUCGGGAAACCGGAUCUAAUACCGGAUAAUAUAUUGAACCGCAUGGUUCAAUAGUGAAAGACGGUUUUGCUGUCACUUAUAGAUGGAUCCGCGCCGCAUUAGCUAGUUGGUAAGGUAACGGCUUACCAAGGCAACGAUGCGUAGCCGACCUGAGAGGGUGAUCGGCCACACUGGAACUGAGACACGGUCCAGACUCCUACGGGAGGCAGCAGUAGGGAAUCUUCCGCAAUGGGCGAAAGCCUGACGGAGCAACGCCGCGUGAGUGAUGAAGGUCUUCGGAUCGUAAAACUCUGUUAGUAGGGAAGAACAAAUGUGUAAGUAACUAUGCACGUCUUGACGGUACCUAAUCAGAAAGCAACGGCUAACUACGUG